rnacentral:rRNA from 1 species
CUUGGUCAUUUAGAGGAAGUAAAAGUCGUAACAAGGUUUCCGUAGGUGAACCUGCGGAAGGAUCAUUAAUGAUUGAACGUCUGUCGAGCUUGCUCACAGGCACAUCAUAUCCAUAACACCUGUGCACUUGUCGGAUGGCUUAGUGAAGACCGCAAGGUUGGAUCUAUCCAUCUACUUUACAUAACAAUUCUGUAACAAAUGUAGUCUUAUUAUAACAUAAUAAAACUUUCAACAACGGAUCUCUUGGCUCUCGCAUCGAUGAAGAACGCAGCGAAAUGCGAUAAGUAAUGUGAAUUGCAGAAUUCAGUGAAUCAUCGAAUCUUUGAACGCACCUUGCGCUCCUUGGUAUUCCGAGGAGCAUGCCUGUUUGAGUGUCAUGAAAACCCUCAACCCUAGAUUGGUUAAAACCUUUCUUUGGUUUGGAUUUGGACGUUUGCCGAUGAUAAGUCGGCUCGUCUUAAAAGUAAUAGCUGGAUCUGUCUCGCGACAUGGUUUGACUUGGCGUAAUAAGUAUUUCGCUAAGGACAUCUUCGGAUGGCCGCGUUGCAGGACGAAAGACCGCUUUCUAAUCCAUUGAUCUUACGAUUAAUAUUCUUGACAUCUGGCCUCAAAUCAGGUAGGACUACCCGCUGAACUUAAGCAUAUCAAUAAGCGGAGGA